GACGAACGCUGGCGGCGUGCCUAAUACAUGCAAGUCGAGCGGACGGAUGGGAGCUUGCUCCCAGACCGUCAGCGGCGGACGGGUGAGUAACACGUGGGCAACCUGCCUGUAAGACUGGGGUAACUCCGGGAAACCGGGGCUAAUACCGGAUAACUCUUUCCCUCACAUGAGGGAAAGCUGAAAGAUGGCAUCUCGCUAUCACUUACAGAUGGGCCCGCGGCGCAUUAGCUAGUUGGUGAGGUAACGGCUCACCAAGGCGACGAUGCGUAGCCGACCUGAGAGGGUGAUCGGCCACACUGGGACUGAGACACGGCCCAGACUCCUACGGGAGGCAGCAGUAGGGAAUCUUCCGCAAAGGACGAAAGUCUGACGGAGCAACGCCGCGUGAGUGAUGAAGGUUUUCGGAUCGUAAAACUCUGUUGUCAGGGAAGAACAAGUACCGGAGUAACUGCCGGUACCUUGACGGUACCUGACCAGAAAGCCACGGCUAACUACGUG
rnacentral:rRNA from 1 species